rfam:Podospora anserina genomic DNA, chromosome 7.
GCCCGCAUGGCUCAGUGGUAGAGCGUGUCACUAGUAAUGACAAGGUCGUCAGUUCAAUUCUGGCUGUGGGCA